UUUUACUGGUGUAUACCCGAAGGGCACCAUAUCCUGUCUGAUCUUUGAAGUUAAGCAGGGUUAGCCCUGGGUUACACUUGACUAAGAGAUCACCAAUGAAUACCAACUCCAGAAGUCU
rnacentral:rRNA from 11 species